rnacentral:rRNA from 1 species
UACGUAGGUGGCAAGCGUUGUCCGGAAUUAUUGGGCGUAAAGCGCGCGCAGGCGGUCCUUUAAGUCUGAUGUGAAAGCCCACGGCUCAACCGUGGAGGGUCAUUGGAAACUGGGGGACUUGAGUGCAGAAGAGGAGAGUGGAAUUCCACGUGUAGCGGUGAAAUGCGUAGAGAUGUGGAGGAACACCAGUGGCGAAGGCGGGUCUCUGGGCAACAACUGACGCUGAGGAGCGAAAGCGUGGGGAGCAAACAGG